UGACCGCUGGCGGCGUGCCUCAUACAUGCACGUCGAGCGAACGGACGAGAAGCUUGCUUCUCUGAUGUUAGCGGCGGACGGGUGAGUAACACGUGGAUAACCUACCUAUAAGACUGGGAUAACUUCGGGAAACCGUAGCUAAUACCGGAUAAUAUUUUGAACCGCAUGGUUCAAAAGUGAAAGACGGUCUUGCUGUCACUUAUAGAUGGAUCCGCGCUGCAUUAGCUAGUUGGUAAGGUAACGGCUUACCAAGGCAACGAUGCAUAGCCGACCUGAGAGGGUGAUCGGCCACACUGGAACUGAGACACGGUCCAGACUCCUACGGGAGGCAGCAGUAGGGAAUCUUCCGCAAUGGGCGAAAGCCUGACGGAGCAACGCCGCGUGAGUGAUGAAGGUCUUCGGAUCGUAAAACUCUGUUAUUAGGGAAGAACAUAUGUGUAAGUAACUGUGCACAUCUUGACGGUACCUAAUCAGAAAGCCACGGCUAACUACGUG
rnacentral:rRNA from 1 species